rnacentral:rRNA from 1 species
GACGAACCAAGCAAACGUUGUUCGGAAUCACUGGGCUUAAAGGGCGCGUAGGCGGUCUCUCAAGUCCGGGGUGAAAUCUUUCGGCUCAACCGGAAAAUUGCCUUGGAUACUGGGAGGCUCGAGUGAGGUAGGGGUAACGGGAACAUCCGGUGGAGCGGUGAAAUGCGUUGAUAUCGGAUGGAACGCCGGUGGCGAAAGCGCGUUACUGGACCUUUUCUGACGCUGAGUGCGCGAAAGCUAGGGUAGCGAACGGG